AGCAGCCGCGGUAAUUCCAGCUCCAAUAGCGUAUAUUAAAGUUGCUGCAGUUAAAAAGCUCGUAGUUGAAUUUCGGGACUAAUAUGUUGGUCGUGCCUCGGUACGUACUGAUAUUUUUGGUUUCUCCCUUCUGACGAACCUUGAUGUCAUUAAUUGGUGUCUUGGGAAAUCAGGACUGUUACUUUGAAAAAUUGAGUGUUUAAAGCAAGCUAACGCUUGAAUACAUUAGCAUAGGAAUAAUGAAAUAGGACGUUCGAUCCUAUUUUGUUGGUUUCUAGGAUUGACGUAAUGAUUAAUAGGGAUAGUUGGGGCAUUAGUAUUCAAUUGUCAGAGGU
rnacentral:rRNA from 1 species